CCCCCUCCCUCUCUCUGCCCCCCUCUCUCUCCCCAGGAUAAGAGGACUCACUUCAGCAGGAACAUUGAGCUUUUCCUUCUUCUCCCACGUCGAGGGCCGGCAGCUUUUGAAACGUUUGUCCGCGCACUCCCCGAUACCGAACGGAGACAUCUCUCCCAGUUACUGCAGGAAGAAAUACUCCCUCAUUCCACACAGGUGGGAGUGGGGGAGAGAGAGAGAGUCCUCUCAGCGGGACUUUAUACUUAUGCAUCUUAAAUAUAUGUGAGAGAGACUUCUGUCGACGCUGGAGAUGGGGCGGUGGGAUACCCAGUGUUAUCAUGUUCUCCAAACAUUUACACACAACAUCGAGAUACGGCGAGUCCCAUUACAGCACGGUUUGGCAACAGCUCCAUCUGAGACCAGCAAGAAAUCGCAGAGAAUUGUGGACGAAGCCCAGACCAUCACACACACAAACCAUCCUCCCUUCCAUUGCCUCCAUCCAGACCUCCCACUGCCUCGGCAAGGCCAGCAGCAUAAUCAAGGACCAGUCUCACCCCCGGUCACUCAAUCUUCCCCUCUCCCAUUGGGCAAGAGGUACAGAAGUGUGGAAACGAAUACACACCUCCAGAUUCAGGGACAGUUUCUUCCCGGCUGUUAUCAGGCAACUGAACCAUCCCUCUCACCAACUAGGGAUCGGUCCUGACCUCCCAUCUACCUCAUUGGAGAUCCUCGGACUAUCUUUAAUCGAACUUUACCUUGUACUAAAUGUUAUUCCCGUUAUCCUGUAUCUGUACACUGGACAGUUUGAUUGUAAUCAUGUACGCUGACUGGAUAUGAAAGUGACAAGAAAGCUUUUCACUACCUCGGUACACGGGACUAUGAUAAACUCAACUAUUAGAGGCGAUGGAUGGAAGGGAGGUUGGUUUUUGUGUGUGAUGGGCUGGGCUGCGUCGACAACUCUCUGCGAUUUCUUGUGGUCUUGAAUGGGGCGGUUCCCAAACCGUGCCGUGAUGCAUCCUGAUAAGAUGCUUUCCACGGCGCACCUGCAGAAGUUGGUGAGAGUUUUUGGGGGCAAGCCGAACGCCCUCAGCCUUCUAAGGAAGUCGAGGCUUUGGAGAUGAAGUCAGAGCUACAGCGAAUUUCCCAUCUCCCUGACCACCGAUCAGUCCAUUCAACCAUCAUGGCCGUGCUGUCCCAUGGAGUGGAGGGAGCAGUGUAUGGUGCAGAUGGGCAGCUGUUACAGGUGGGGGAGACAAACAUAGAAUAUAGAUGCAGGAGUAGGCCAUUUGGCCCUUUGAGCCAGCACCACCAUUCAAUGUGAUCAUGGCUGAUCAUCCACAAUCAGUAUCCCGUUCCUGCCUUCUCCCCAUGUCCCUUGACUCCGCAAUCUUUAAGAGCUCUAUUUAACUCUCUCUUGAAAGCCUCCAGAGAAUUGGCAGAAAAUUCCACAGAUUCACAACUGUCUGGGGUUUUUAUAUUUCUUCUCAUCUCAGUUUAUUCUUAAAUUGUGGCCCCUAUUUCUGGACUCCCCCAACAUCGGGAACAUGUUUCCUGCCUUUAGCGUGUCCAAACCCUUAAUAGAAACAUAGAAAAUAGGUGCAGGAGUAGGCCAUUCGGGCCUUCGAGCCUGCACCGCCAUUCAAUAUGGUCAUGGCUGAUCAUCCAACUCAAUAUCCUGUACCUGCCUUCUCUCCAUACCCCCUGAUCCCUUUAGCCACAAGGGCCACAUCUAACUCCCUCUUAAAUAUAGCCAAUGAACUGGCCUCAACUACCUUCUGUGGCAGAGAAUUCCAGAGAUUCACCACUCUCUGUGUGAAAAAUGUUUUCCUCAUCUCGGUCCUAAAAGAUUUCCCCCUUAUCCUUAAACUGUGACCCCUUGUUCUGGACUUCCCCAACAUCGGGAACAAUCUUCCUGCAUCUAGCCUGUCCAACACCUUAAGAAUUUUGUAAGUUUCUAUAAGAUUCCCCCCCUCAAUCUUCUAAAUUCUAGCAAGUACGAACCGAGUCUAUCCAGUCUUUCUUCAUAUGAAUCUUAUAUGUUUCAAUGAGAUACCCCCUCAUCCUUCUAAACUACAGAGUGUACAAGCCCAGCCGCUCCAUUCUCUCAGCAUAUGACAGUUCCGCCAUCCCAGGAAUUAACCUUGUAAACCUACGCAGCACUCCCUCAAUAGCAAGAAUGUCCAUCCUCCAAUUAGGGGACCAAAACUGCACAUAAUAUGCCAGGUGUGAUCUCAAUAGAGCCCUAUGAGGAUGCACGAUGACUUGGACUGGUUGGGGGAGUGGGCAGAUGCAGUUUAAUGUGCAUAAAAGUGAGGUUAUCCACUUUGAUGGCAAAAGCAGGAAGGAAGAUUUCUAUCUAAAUGGCGUCAAGUUGGGAACAGGGCAAGUACAACGGGAUCUGGGGGUCCUUGUUCAUCAGUCAAUGAAAGUAACCAUGCAGGUACAGCAGGCAGUGAAGAAAGUGAAUGGCAUGUUGGCCUUCAUACCAAGAGGAGUUGAGUAUAGGAGCAAAGAGGUCCGCCUGCAGUUGUGCAGGGCCUUAGUGAGACCACACCUAUUUUGUGCAGUUUUGGUCUCCAAAUUUGUGGAAGGACAUUCUUGCUAUUGAGGGAGUGCAGCGUAGGUUCACCAGGUUAAUUCCCGGGAUGGUGGGACUGUCAUCUAUCUAUCUAUACAUAACUUAAACUCUAAUCUUUUUAUCUUCCGGUUUGCGUUGUUUUUACAUUUGUGCAACAAUGUUACACGAUAUCACCACCUUACUUACCAUUCUCCAGUGCUGCAAGUGCAACAAGAUCGGUGGUAUAUUUUAUGUUAUUAAGGUUUAAGCAGCUUAAGAACCACGCGUAUGCAAAUUAGUCUCCUCUCCUGUCAGUCACCGCCGCGACAGCGACACCCUGCAACAUCACCUCACUGAUUGGACACAUCCGAACAAUUCAAAGAGUCAAAGUCUCAGUCAAAAUGUCUUUACUAAGUCACCCGGGUGAAAUCAGAAUUCAGCCAGCUGUGUGCACCAGUGUCCACACAAAAGACUGGCACUGUUCAGACUGCGAUACAGAGAAAUUACAAGCAUCUGUAUACUGAUAAAACAGCCUUAGCCACAUGGUUAGUAGACAUAAAUGAACAAAUGAACUCAGGUAAACACAAUGAGGCCCCUUAACUAUAUUGGGGAGAUAUGGGAGUAAAAUGGGAGAGAGAGCAGCUACACAGGCAAGAAGAGCUCUAUUGUACACCUUGUCACCCCCAUGCAGGAUGCUGGUAUCGCAAUGGAAUGCUAGAAGGCCGGGAAUGGCCCUUAUCUUAGUUCCCGCUGGAACAGCGAAGGUCGCCUUCCCAGGCUUUUGCAGACAUCUGUGGUGGCUAAUUUAAAAUACUACCAAUAUUCUGUUCACAAAAUGGCGGUGGUAGCUAAAAUGACUAAUAUAAUCUAAGUAAGAUGGAGGAGACCGCACUAGCUCUUACACCUCUGCCCGACGUUGCCUGGCGCGGCUUCCGGGCAACCUCUGGUCAGAGGAGCAACAACCUCGAGAUGCUAGGGAGGUGAUGAGGGAGAUGGGGAAUUGAGGGAGAGGAGGGGGUAGGGAG